rnacentral:rRNA from 1 species
GCUUGCUGCAUGCUUUAUACAUGCAAGUCGAACGGAGGCCCUAGCUUGCUAGGUGUCCUUAGUGGCGCACGGGUGAGUAACACGUGGGAACAUACCUCAUAGUACGGAAUAACUGCGGGAAACUGUAGCUAAUACCGUAUAUUCCAGUAAUGGGAAAGAUUUAUCGCUAUGAGAUUGGCCCGCGCAAGAUUAGUUUGUUGGUAAGGUAAUGGCUUACCAAGGCUACGAUCUUUAGCUGGUUUGAGAGGAUGAUCAGCCACACUGGGACUGAGACACGGCCCAGACUCCUACGGGAGGCAGCAGUAGGGAAUAUUGGACAAUGGGGGCAACCCUGAUCCAGCAAUGCAGCGUGAGUGACGAAGGCCUUAGGGUUGUAAAACUCUUUCAUCGGUGAGGAUAAUGACAGUAGCCGAAGAAGAAGGACCG